AACAGCGGCAUUCGGGCCUCGCGGAACCCCAGAGUCUCCUGGGUCGGCUUUGUUCCCGUGGAGCCUCUUUUGUAGAUUAAGAAAUUGAGGCAUCAAGAGCUUGACCUGCCCACGUUCAUACAGCUAGUGAGUGAUGGAGGCGGAGUUAGGUCCCCGCUGUCUGGUUCUGGACGCCUUCAUGUCAAACGUCACUGUCUCCAGCCUUCUGAAGGACGCGGAUUUGGAAUGCGUGCGCGGUGACCAGUGCAGACCUCCGCCUCGGCAGGGAGAAAUGGAGGCUUCGGGCCCCCGCCGCUCCCCAAAGAACCGCAGAUUGCUGUGGGCUGAUUUUUACGGCCUCUGUUCCACCAUUGCAGCCUGUGACUCCGAGGUGCAAACUCGGCCAGCCCAGAGAGAAAUGCCUGAGGAUGAGGACUGAGGGGAGAGAGGCCCUGGCUCAUCUCAUCUGAGUUCCACGGCUGAGCCGGUGUGGCUUCUGCGCCAAGCGUGUUACGACACUAUCCAUCUCUUGCUCCUCACUGCCACCCUGGGAGGCAGUACUGCUGUUGGUUCCAUUUCACAGAUGAGGAAGCUGAGGUUUGGAGAAAUCAUGUGGCUUUGUUAUGGUCACACCCAAGACUACUAAUUCCAGAACCAUAGCCCUAACCUUUAUGCUCCACUGUUGAGUCUGUUCCCCAGCCACUGUAUUAACACUGUAUUAACAGUUUUGCUGCACAGCACUGGGCUAAGGACUCACUCUUUGGAAGUCCUUGUUUCGUCUGAGGUGAGCAGGGCCCUUUGACAGGUGAAUGUGCCCCGCCCUGAGUGCUAGGCAUUCUCAACCUGGGGUCUUCACGCCAGCUUCUUCUUGGGAAAAUUCUGUGAUCUCUUCAGAGUGGUUUGGCUAAGUUCACUCAAUUCACAGGUAACAAUAAAGCUGGUGUCUGGUCAGGCACACUCUGCAUUCGUAAAUGUGAGUACAGAAAUGUGACGUUGAGGACACAGGGGAGGGAUCUUAGAAUGGAGGAAAGGCAGUGUUUGUUGAGCGCCAGCAGCCCCCGGCACCCUGUGUCCCUUCUCAGCAGUCUUCACUGCAGCUUUGUGAAGAGCUGUCUGUGAUCUCCAUUUUGCAGGCGAGGAAACUGAGGAUCUUAUCGGUUCUCUGGCUUACCCGAGUCAUGUAGCUGGGAAGGGCUCCUCCUGAGCCUUGAACCUGGGUCUCUCAGGCUUCCAAACCCUGCCCUUUGCACUGAUCUUCCCUGGGAAUGUGCGACUGGCUGUGACAAGGAAUGGGGUUCCCACAGGUUCCUAACUAUCUGUGCGCACAGUGUACGGUUAGAGGUCUAGCCUAAACAUGAGUCAGUUCACAACGGCCGUGUUCUCCAGCCAUCUGACAACUAGAUGAUUUGCUCCGAGAAUGCUGGAUUCUUCCCCUGCCACUGCCCCCCUUCAGGGGAAAGUUCAUUGCUCAGAAGAAAUCCCAGUGGUAUACACCCCUAAAGAAUUGAAAGCUGGCACUCUGAGAGAUAUUUGUACACCAUGUUUGUACUAGCAUUAUUUGCAAGAGCCAAAAGGGGGAAGCAACCAAGUGUCCGUCGAUGGAUGAUUGGAUAAACAAAAUAUGGUAUAAACAUACAAAGGAAUAUUAUUUAGUCUUAACAGAAAGGAAAUUCUGACACGUGCUAUAACCCAGAUGAAACUUGAGGACGUUAUGCUAAGUGAAACAAGCCAGUCACAAAAGGUCAAAGACUAUAUGAUUCCACCUAGAUGAAGUACCUAGAGGAGUCAAACUCAUAGAGACGGAAAGCAGAAUGGCGGCCGGGGGCUGCCGUGGCGGGUGUGCUGAAGUCGCGAGUUGUUGUUUAAUGUGUGCACACUUUCACUUUUUCAAGAUGGGAAGAGUUCUGGAGAUGGAUGGGAGUGGUGAUGUCUCAACAAUGUGCUUGAUGCCACUGAACUGUGCGCUUAAAAAUGGAUCAGCUGGUAAAUUUU
rnacentral:lncRNA from 1 species